rnacentral:rRNA from 1 species
GAUGAACGCUAGCGGCAGGCCUAACACAUGCAAGUCGAGGGAGGAGCCUUCGGGCUUCGACCGGCGUACGGGUGCGUAACGCGUAUACAAUCUGCCUUUCACAUAGGGAUAGCCCGAAGAAAUUUGGAUUAAUACCUAAUGGUAUAUAGGUGUGGCCUCACAUUUAUAUUAAAGCUGAGGCGGUGAAAGAUGAGUAUGCGUUCUAUUAGCUAGUUGGAGAGGUAACGGCUCCCCAAGGCGACGAUAGAUAGGGGUUCUGAGAGGGAUAUCCCCCACACUGGUACUGAGAUACGGACCAGACUCCUACGGGAGGCAGCAGUGAGGAAUAUUGGACAAUGGUCGGAAGACUGAUCCAGCCAUGCCGCGUGCAGGAAGACGGCCUUAUGGGUUGUAAACUGCUUUUGCAGGGGAAGAAUAAGGAGUACGUGUACUUGAGA